AUUAAUUGCUCUAUCUGGAAAUCUCCAAUCAGAACCGUUUGUAAAUACCCUAGAACGAGUUCAUGGAACAUUGCAAAGGAUGAAUAAUGAGUAUCUAAGAUCAGCUCUUGACUACCUAGAAACACUGCCAGAUAUAACAAUUGCCAGGAGAACACCGGACACUUACCAUUGCCCAAACCUAAGUAUCAACAAAUGGACACAACUGUCUUUAUAUGAUGCAUAUUUUGGAUGGGGUCGACCAAUAUACAUGGGUCCAACAAACGUUGUCCAUGAAGGAAAAAUAUGUAUACUACCAAGUCCAACCGAUGAUGGGAGCUUGUCAUUGGUAACAUGCCUACAGACUGCUCAUAUGAAACUCUUCGAGAAACAUCUAUACGAAGGCUUGAAGUCAUUUGACAAGAUCAAAGCUCGAUAUUAGUUGUUUGUUCUCUCUAUCAAUAUAUGUAUAAACCUAUAAAUCUUCUACUUCUGUUUCUUUAACUAAGACUUUUUGUUUGGAUCCUGUUUAUUUGAAAUUUACCAUCUAAGUUGGCCUGGCAAACAGGUGUUUUAUUGGUAAUUAUUGUACUAUACCUCAAUAAUAGUAAUAGCAUUGAUCGCAAAGAAAUAAUAAAUUAAAAUAAGAAUACACAGAUUUUACGUGGAAAAGUCUUAUUAGAAAAAAAAUCACAGGCAGAGUAAAAAUUUACUAAUGUUGAAAAGCAACAAUACAAGAAGUUUUUUUACUACACACGUUUUAACGGUUAAAUAACAUUUUUAUAAUCAAUGUCUAAUAGAAGAUCGCUCCCACAUAUCCCCCAAAUUUGCAAUUCUAUUUUAUUUCUUUAACAAACAAGUUGCACCUCGAAUUUUUCUGACUGGAUCAAACGGGGUUCAAAUCAAACAGCUCUGACAACAACUCAAAUUAUUUUUCCAUAACCAUAUUAAAACAAAUACCGAAUAAUUGAAAUAUAUUCAAAAUUUUAAAUUAAAUUAAGUUUGGAUCAAACUCACUGAUGAUAUAUGAUUUACCUAAAGUGAAAUAAGAACUCGAAAAUAUAAAAUUUAUGGGUAAAUUUUCGUUUUGGUCACUUAAUUAAAAAAUUAUAAUUUGGUUAUUAAACUAUUCAAAAGUUUUAUUUUAAGUCAUUGGAUUGUUAAAAUUUAUAUUAUACGACUUUCUCUAUUCGCAGUGCAUGCAUCAAUUGAAAGCUCUCUUUUUCCUUCAUUUUUACAGUUCAUUUUCUAUUUUUAUGUAAAAACUUUGGACGUCAUAAAUCUGUAGACCAAAAUUUAAACAUUUUUUGCUCUGAUUUCCAACAUCGACCAUCAAAUCAAUUUAGAUCUAAGGUAUAUUUUUCUACUCAUUAAUGGAAUAAUGGGUAUCGAUCCAUCGUAUCGAUUGUUGACACCAUUUUUUGGAUGAAAACGGAGUCGACUUGGGUUUGAAAAUGAAAACGAAAAACAAGGUGUCGCGACCGAUCCUUUUUGAUGAGGUGUGAUCGGGUCACCUCGUAAAAGUGGUUGUUUUUAAUAAACGGUUUAAUUUUAUUAAAACAACGAGUUUGGUCCACGAAAUUUAGAAAAACAGGUUCGGGAGUCGGUUACGCACGAGGAAGGAUUAGCACCCUCGAUACGCCCAAAAUUGGUACCCAGUUGAUUACUUAAUGUCUUAAUGUCGAAAAUUGAAAACUUUGAAGAAUUUUAAAAAAUACGAUCCUUGUAUUAAAACGUUGAAAAUUUUCAAGAAAAUGAGGAUAUUUCACGUUAUUCGAGAAAGAGAAUCAUAUCCAGUAAGUUAGGACACAAUGUCUCGAAUUUCCGAUACGCGAAUGAAAAAUGCUUAUUUAAAAGAUAUUUAGCUAUCUCGGAUUUAAAAAAGAGAUCACGACCAGUAAGUUAGAACACGAUCUUUUUUAUUCCCGAGAUCAUUUAAAACUUAAGUUUGAAAAGAUUCGUGUAAUAAAGUUUAAAAGAAUAUUCAAUUGUUUAAAUCAAAUGAAGAAAUUGCAACCCAAUACGUUAGAGCACAAUUUCUCAAAAUAUUAAACACUGAAUAUUGCAUUUAUUUCGAAAAAUCCUCGUCUCGAGGAACCACGUGUCAUGUCCAAUGCAUUAGGACGCAACGUAUUCAAUUCUUGAUAACGAACUUUUUAUCAUUUUUUUAAAAGAGUAAUCUCGAUUAUUUAAGUUCAACGAAGAAAGUCGGAACCCAAUACGUUAGGGCUCGAUUCUCUCGAAGAUCCAAAAUAACGAAUAUUACUUAUUUCUAAAAUUUCUUUUUCGAAAUCUAAAUAAAAAUGGGUGUAAUGGAUUAACGAUGAUAAUAAUGUAAGUAAAAUAAUAAUAUGAGCAAUAGCAUCAAAGAUAAGAUAAAAUAAAAAAGGACAAAUCAAUAGCAUACAGAAUAAAUAUAUAAGCAAAUAAAGUUAAAGCAUUCGUUUAAAAUAAUAAUGAAAAUGUAAAUAAAGAGAUAAACAAAAAAUGAACAAAACUAUAUAAAAAAUAAAAGAUAUAUAUAUUAUAUGCAUAAAUACAUUUGUACAAAAAAAAGGAUAUGUAAGUUGAAAUAUAGAAAAAUAUACGUAAGAAAAAAAUAGGUUUUUAAAACAUAAAAAGUAUGUAUAAAUAUGUUUAUAUGUAAUAAAAACACGUAUGUAUAUAUGAAAUACAACAAUAAUAAAGUAUAAAUAUGUACAUUUAUAUAAAUGGAAAAAGUAGAUAUGUAUAUGUAUAUAUAUAUUAUAAAGCAUAAAAAUAAGUAUUUAUAUAAAUAAAAAUUCGUAUGUAUAUACAUAUAUAUUACAUAAAGAUAAAAGGUAUAAGUAUGUAUAUUAUAAAAUAAAACCGUGCAAGUAUGUACAUAUAUAGAUGAAUUAUAAAGUAAGUAAAAUAUGAGUAUGUAUAUAACAAAGUCUAAAACGGUAUAAAUAGGUAGAUCAAAUGCAAUAAUAAUAAUAAUAAUAAUAAAUUAAAUAAUAAAAAGGGCUAAAUUGAAAACAAAACAAAAUAAGAGAGGAAAAAAAUCAAAAAUGAAAAGAAGUCAAGGAUUAAUCCGUGACGCGCUUGAAAGGAGAGGGACCGAGGCUGCAAAUAAACCGAAGCCCCCAAAACGCAGCGCAGCAGUGGACUAAAUUGAAACAAAAAUAAAACUUUGUGGCCAAAUUAAAAAUAAAAGAAAAUGCGAAAAGGGGCCAAAUUGCGACACACUUCAAAGUCAGAGGGACUGCGUGCGCAAAUAUCCCCUUUAGCGAAAACACGCUGAUCCUCCCCUCGGGUCGGAUCACCGCGCGGGUCAAGGGAGCCUUAAACGUCGCCGUUUUGAAAUUCCUAUAAAAGCUAAUUUUUUUCUGCUAUUUCAUUUCUUAAAAAAAAACAUAAGAAAAAACAAAAGGGUCUUCCCCUUUCUCUGCUAGGGUUCCAAACUUGGAACCCCGCCGCCGUCUGCCGCAUCUCCAUCGCAGCGCCACCAAGGACGGUGGCCGGAGUCGUGCGAGAAAAAGGGAUUUUUAACCCUCAUCGUGUGGCAUCCUUGAGAUCUCAGAUCUCUCAACCCGCGGGAAAGAGGGAAACCCACAACCCCUCUCGGACCCGAAUCGGCGACGGAGGAGAAGCCCUCCGACGGCGCAACCACGGUGGUUCCCGGUGAGUCCCCUUUCCCUUUUUAUUUUCUAUUUAAUGUACGAAAUAAAGAAAAUAAAAUAAAUAAAUAAAGAAAUGCGAAUCUGAUAUCAAGCCUUGAAUCUAUUUUUUUGAUUGUUUUAUUUAUAUGAAAAUGUUACAAAAGAAAAGAAAAAGCCCCCCGAUUCAGUGAUGAAGCCCCCUCUUACAAUCAAAAUCCCUAUAUUCUACUGCUAUUGUGUCUUUUCUUUUGUAGGUGGAGCAGGUGAGGGCGUCGGUGGCAAGUGGGCAUGGUGAUGGGACGUAUGCGGCGGCCAGCAGAGCUAGGGUGCAGAGGGCUGCAGCGCUAGGGUUUCUUUUCUGAAACCCUAGCUUGACUUUUGGGGAAUUGGGCUCCGAAUUUGGGCCUCGGGUUUGGGUUAGGCUAGUUGGGUUUAUUGUAUUGGGUUGUAACUGGAAUUGGAUCAUUUGGGUUUGGGUGGUUUGGGCUGAGUCUGUUGGGUUAUUGGGCUGAUGUUUGUUAGUUUAGGGUUAAUUGGGCCCAGGCAUAAAAAUUGGGCUUGUACAAUAAAUAUAUAUUUUUUAUUUUUAUUUUUUAAUUUUAAAAUACGUUAAAAAUAUUUUUUUUUAUUUUUAAAAUAUUUUUUUUGUGUUUAUUAAAAAUCGGGCUGGGCCCGGGCUUAUUAUUUUUUUCUCGGGCCGGGCCUGGGAAAAAUUUCAGGCCCAUAUUUCGGGCCGGGCCGGGCCCGGGCCUAAGAGUCGGGCCAAAUUUUUUCCCGGGCCCGGCCCGAACCCGGCCCGGCCCAUGGACAGGUCUAGUGACAGUACAAAUGGGUUUUAAAUGCCAACUACGAUGUCCAAUUAUUAGGACAAAAAUAGGUUUUUAAUUAAAUAAAUUAAAUUUAGACUGCCACGUAGGACCGUCAUAAGGGAGGUAAGAGAGCUUAAUGAUAGAGUGACCAAUUCGUAACAGAACGAUAACAUUAGUGACUAAAACGUAACAUUUCAAACUUAAGUGACUAAAAUGUAAUCUGAAGCAAAUAAAAGUGACUGUUUUAAAGUUUACCCUUAAUGUAAUUAUUGGCGGAUGAUCUGGCCGCACCGACAAACAGCAGAAAUUGAGUCAUUUUCGUAAUUAUUUACAAAAUUUGGGUUACUUUUGUAAAAAAACCAGAGAAGAGAACCUCGCCUCUUCUUAAGAUAGCCGGACACUUUCUAACUUUCCCUUCUUUCAGUUUUUCAUCAACAGGUUUGCCUCUUACCAGAACAUCAAUGGAUGUUAGUGUAAAGAGAUGGAGCAUGAUACGCCCUGCCCAAGAUACUCCUAAAGAAAGGCAAUGGAUUUCAAAUCUGGACAUGGUGAUAACAACAUACCAUGUCCCUUUGCUGUUUUUCUACAAACCAAAUGGCUCCUCUGAUUUCUUUAAGCCUCAAGUGCUACAGGAGGCUUUAAGCAAGACUCUUGUGCAAUUCUAUCCUAUGGCUGGGAGGUUGGGACAUGAUGAAAAUGGUAGGCUCGAGAUAUUAUGCAACGCAGAGGGUGUUCUGUGGAUAGAAGCUGAAACUACAUCGGCCAUGGAUGAUCUCGACGGUUUUACUCCCUGCUCAAAACUGAGGAAACUGGUUCCCACGGCUGAUUACUCUGGAGAUAUCAGUUCUUAUCCGCUUAUUAUGGCUCAGGUAAGUGAAUGAAGAACUAUUAUCUUAUUGUAGAUGAUAACUGUUACUUGCAGUAGGAGACCAAGGAUAAGCUCUGAGAAAACUCAAACAGUCUGAUACUGAAGUUAUAGCACAAGAAAAACUAAGCUAUCAGCUAAGAAGUUGAUAUAUGGCUUUUUUUUCUCAAAACUGACUUAAAAGAAUCGAUUAAUUAUGAAAAUUACCCAGGUAUAAUAUCUUAUAUGAGAAUGACCCGUUUUCUACCGUAAAAAUUGGUACCGCUAGACUAUUUAGCGGUACCGAUAUUUUUGUAAAAGUAUUACCAUCAACAAAUUAUCGAUAUAUACUUUCCAUUCAUCUUCACAAGAAAGUGCUAAUUACGGAGGUCCAUGGUGGUGGCUUAGUAGUGAUGAAGAUGAAACCAAAACCCUUUUCUCUUCAAUGAACCUCUGGUUUGACUCAUUUGUAAUAAUUAUUUUCGCUCGUUGGAUACACCCGCAUUUUAAAUGGAAAACUGUAAUAAUCCUCACCGAAGAAAAGCAAAGAACAAGAUUAAUCAAAGCGAACAAUAUUGUUACAAAUGAGUUAGGAGAGAGGUUCAUUGAAGAGAAAAGGGUUUCGAUUUCAUCUUCUUCACUGCUAAGCCACUGCCAUGGAACUCUUAGACCUUUCUCAUGAAGCUAAACGAUACCAUCAACAAAGUAUAUCCUUUUUACAAAACUAACAUCGGUGCCAACAAUGAGUCCGGCAACAUUCAAAAAAUAUAUUUUUUUAAAAAACAUGGGGUGGUGCUUCAAUGGAAAUGGUGGCACCAAAUUUUAUGAUAGAAAAUGGGUUAUUCUCGUACAAAAUUUUACACUUGAGUCAUUUUUAUAAUUAAUAAAAAUUUUUGGUCAAUUUUGAAAAAAAAAACUUAAUGUUUUUGUUUCGAAAAGGUCAAUUGUUGAGUGUAUAUUUUGCUAGGUAACUACUCUUAAAUGCGGUGGAGUUUGUCUUGGAAUAGCAACUCAUCAUACUUUGACUGAUGGCACAACGACCUUACAUUUCAUUAAUAGUUGGUCUGAAAUGGCAAGAGGCUUGCCCCAAAUUAGCAUGCCACCACUUAUUGACCGAACCCUUCUCCGAGCAAGAGUGCCACCAAUCCCUAGAUUUCAUCAUCUCGAAUAUGACCGACCUCCUUCCUUAUACACCUCUACGUCACUUGGCCCUAAUAACCAUAAACCCUCAACUGUAUCUGUUUUCAAGAUCACACAAAAUCAACUUAAUACCCUAAAAGCCAAGUCAUGGGAACAUGGAAACAAAACCAAUUACAGCACCUACACCAUUCUAGUUGCAUACAUAUGGCGCUGUGCAACUAAAGCUUGGGACCUCUCAUAUGAUCAGCCAACCAAGUUACACAUCCCAACUGAUGGACGCCCCAGACUACAUCCUCCCCUCCCAUCAACGUACUUGGGCAACGCAAUGUUUGCGGCUUCAUUAAUUGCUCUAUCUAGAAAUCUGCAAUCAGAACCGUUUGUAAAUACCCUAGAACGAGUUCAUGGAACAUUGCAAAGGAUGAAUAAUGAGUAUCUAAGAUCAGCUCUUGACUACCUAGAAACACUGCCAGAUAUAACAGUUGCCAGGAGAACACCGGACACUUACCAUUGCCCAAACCUAAGUAUCAACAAAUGGACACGACUGUCUUUAUAUGAUGCAGAUUUUGGAUGGGGUCGACCAAUAUACAUGGGUCCAGCAAACAUUGUCCAUGAAGGAAAAAUAUACAUACUACCAAGUCCAACCAAUGAUGGGAGCUUGUCAUUGGUAGCAUGCCUACAGACUGCUCAUAUGAAACUCUUCGAGAAACAUCUAUACGAAGGCUUGAAGUCAUUUGACAAGAUCAAAGCUCGAUAUUAGUUGUUUGUUCUCUCUAACAAUAUAUGUAUAAACCUAUAAAUCUUCUACUUCUGUUUCUUUAACUAAGACUUUUUGUUUGGAUCCUGUUUAUUUGAAAUUUACCAUCUAAGCUGGCUUGGCGAACAGGUCUUUUAUUGGUAAUUAUUGUACUAUACCUCGAUAAUAGUAGUAUCAUUGAUCGCAAAGAAAUAAUAAAGAAAAAUAAGAAUACACAGAUUUUACGUGGAAAAGUCUUAUUAGGAAAAAAAAUCACGAGCAGAGUAAAAAUUCACUAAUGUUGAAAAAUACUAAUACAAGAAGUUUUUUUGACUACACAUUUUAACGGUUAAAUAACAUUUUUAUAAUCAACGUUUAAUAGAAGAUCGCCCCCACAUAUCCCCCAAAUUUGCAAUUCUAUUUUAUUUCUUUAACAAACAAGUUGCACCUCGAAUUUUUCUGAUUGGAUCAAACGGGGUUCAGAUCAAACAGCUCUAACAACAACUCAAAUUAUUUGUCCAUAACCAUAUUAAAACAAAUACCGAAUAAUUGAAAUAUAUUCAAAAUUUUAAAUUAAAUUAAGUUUGGAUCAAACUCACUGAUGAUAUAUGAUUUACCUAAAGUGAAAUAAGAACUCGAAAAUACAAAAUUUAUGGGUAAAUUUUCAUUUUGGUCACUUAAUUAAAAAAUUAUAAUUUGGUUAUUAAACUAUUCAAAAGUUUUAUUUUAAGUCAUUGGAUUGUUAAAAUUGAUAUUAUAUGACUUUCUUUGUUCACAGUGCAUGCAUCAAUUGAAAGCUCUCUUUUUCCUUCAUUUCUACAGCUCAUUUUCUAUUUUUAUGUAACAACUUUGGACGUCACAAAUUUGCAGACCAAAAUUCAAACAUUUUUUGCUCUGAUUUCCAACAUGGACCAUCAAAUCAAUGUAGAUCUAAAUUAUAUUUUUAUACUCAUUAAUGGGUACUGAUCCACCAUAUCGAUUGUUGAAUCCUUACUUGGAGCUCGUUAGUGGAACUUAAAAAACAACUUAAUAUAUAGCCUAGUGACUUAAAUGAAAAUUUUUGAAUUUAGUGGCCAAACCAAAAACUUUCCUAUAAUUUAAUGACUAAUGGUAUAGUUUACGCACUUCCUCUUGGCCCAAUUGAAGUUUUUGGUACUCCCACACACUAGUAAAAAAGUUUUAAUAGUAGAAAUGUAUGAAAUUUUUAAUAGAAAGUACCAUUUUACUUUUUGAUCUAUAUACAGAGAUUAAUUUGCCAAUUUUUUAAAUAAAUGGGGUAAAAUGUAAUUUGACUUUUAAUAUAAAAAUCUCCAUGGUAUGUUUACCUUGAAAUUAUCAAUAAAAACUAAUAAAUAUAAAAUGAAACAGUUAAUAAUAUAUCAAAUAUCCACGAGGUGAUAGGUGAUUUUAAAAUUUAACAUUUACAACUUAAUGGGCUAGUGACAAGGCCAAGCAAACCAUUAGUGGAUUGGUAACAAAUUUGGUAAUAUUUCAACGAUCCAAUUGUUUAAUAUAUCGAUAUAACUGUAUUUGGUAUGCAUGAAAAUUUUCGAACCGAUCCGAUAUUUCUGACAUAUUGAUCCAAAAUAUUGUAUAUAUUGAACUAUUAAAAGUUUUUAUAUAAAAUAAAUAGUUAGUUUUUUUUUUAAUUUACAUCAAAUUUGACAUGCAUAAUAUGACAAUUGAAUCAUUAAAAUAUGGGUAAACUACACCCAUGGUCACUUUUGUUUACCUUAGGUUACAUUUCAGUCACUUAUGUUUGAAAUGUUACAUUUUAGUCACUUACGUUAUCGUGUUGUAAUAUUUUAGUCACUGAGCCGUUAAUUGCCGUUAAUGGUGUAAUGGUAAGCUGACGUGGCACGUUAAAUCAUCAUUUCAAACAAAAACUUUAGGUUAAAUUAUACAAUUGGUCACCAUAAUUUUUCGUUUUGAGCAAUUUAAUUCUUUUAUGUUCUUUUAACUUUCUUUUUUUUUUCUUUUUUUCUUUUCUCUUCUGCUUCACCCUAUGUUUUUCUACCUUCUUUAUUUCUUUUAACAUACCAGGAAGUCGAAUUGGUAGUGAAGAAAGAAGCAUGAUAUGGGUUUAUGGGUUUUGGUUAUAGGGUUUUGGUUAUAGGCAAAUGAUGACAGUCGACUUCCUACUUCUUUUUUCAUUGCCAAUUCGACUUCCUAAUAUGUUAAAAGAAAUGGGAAAGGUAUGAAAACAGAGGGAGAAACAAAAGAGAAUGAAAAAGAGAGAGGAAAGUUUAAAGAACAUAAAAAAAAUUAAAUUACUAAAAACGAAAAAAAUAUGGGGAUCAAUUGUAUAAUUUAACCUAAAAUUUUGUUUGAAAUGAUGAUUUAACGUGCCACGUCAACUUACCGUUACACCAUUAACGACGAUUAAUGGCUCAGUGACUAAAAUGUUACAACUUGAUAACGUAAAUGACUAAAACGUAACCUAAAGUAAACAAAAGUGACCAUGAGUGUAGUUUACCCUUAAAAUAUUAAUCGUAUAAAAAAAUAAAAUACAUAUUUUAAAUUUAAUAUAAAAAUGUUUAAAAAACACUAAAAUAAAUUAAUAAAAUUCUCAAUGACUUUUGGGUUUAAAUCACAAUUAUCGAAACAGGACAAAUCGAAAAUUAAUUAAUGUAUAAAUUUGGAAUAAGAGGAUUAAUUAUCUCACAAAUUGGUUAAAUCAACCAAUCAGAUCAAUUUUUUUCAUUUUUAAAUUUUUUAAUAAUUUAUUUAAUUAAAUUAAUCAAAUCAAUCAAAUCGGAAUUAGAAUCUAAUUCUAAACACUUUGCUUUGUUAUGUCAAAGCCAUAUGUUUUUUUUACACCUUAUUUAUUCCGCAAAUUAUUGUCCGCACAUGUCAACUCUUUAUCAUCUUUUAAUGACGUGUAUGGUAUAGAUAGCCUAUCUGCAUUUUUUUUUAUUUGCCAAAUUCUUUUAUUAUUCCUUGUAUUAUAAUUAGUUUGUGAAUUUAAUCUCUAUAUUAAAAUAAAAUGUCAAUUUUAGUCCUUAUACUUUUUAGCAUUUAAAAUUUUAAUCCUCCACAAAGAGUAGUAAUUAAAUAUGUUUGUUAAUUUAUGUCGUUAAUCUUUUACACAGUAUAAAGUUAUUCCACGUUCUCUAAUUUGAUCAUUCAUAAUCCUUAUAUUUUUUGAAUUUUUAAAUUUUAACAAGCUGAUAUGAUAUUACAUAUAUGAUAAUAUUUUUGACGUAUAAGAUUUUGAAAAUAAUAAAACUACUUAAUGAAUUUAAUGGUUAUCGUUUAUAUCAAGAUUGAAAUUUCAAAAUUAGAAAAAUAUACGGACUAAAAUGAUUAAAUUAAAGUACAUAGACUAAAUUUAUAACUUGUCUAUUGCACAAGUACUAAUAGCAAGAUUUAACCUAUUUUUACAUUUAAAUAUGUAAAAGUAUCACCCAUCCACUGCCUUCCAAGAGAGAAGAUAAGCGUUUUUUUAGCAAUAAAAGAAAUAAUAAUUACCUGAUAAAUUAUUUUAUGGACAUUUUUCACGAUAUCUUCCAUGAUCCCGUCCUAUUAGAAGAUGACACAUCAUCUUUUUUUGACACAUCAUAUGUACAUUUAGACUAAACUCCCAAAUGAAAGAUGAAGUGUCUUGUUUUAAUUGGGAGGAACUAUGGAUGAUGGGGUGGAAAAUGUCUAUAAAAUAAUUUCUCAUUAUUACCUUGUCUUCGAACACAAAAACACAAGCAUUAGCAUACAGAUUUUGCCCAUCCGCUACCUCCCAAUAGACAAGAUAGGUUUUUUUUUAAUUAACUCAAUUUUUUUGAUUAAUUACGAAAAUAAUCAACUUAAAAAUUACAUACGUAAAUGAUUUGAUUUUUACAGUGUUUGUCGAUGCUUCCAGACACAUCGGCGGCACAAGUCUCAUCAUCGACCAAUAAUUGUAUUAUUUUAAAGAUUUUCAAUUCAUUCCCUAACAUAUUUAAAUUUAUAUAAAUUGAGAUAAUUUUUUGAAGGAUAUAUUUGGGUAAUUUAAAUAAGACUUUUAACUUUAUUGUUUCUAAAAAAAUAAAAAUAAUUUAUUUUUGUUAUUCUUAUAUUUUUAAGGGCUAUUUAAAUAUAAUUUUAAAAAUAUAUAUACUUAACACGCAAAUAAAUAAAAAAUUAACAAGCAUCAAAUUUGGUGCCGACAUGGUGCACUAAAAAGUUAUUAUUUUCUGGGUAAAUUACAGUAAUAGUCACUUUUAUUUACCUCAUUAUAUUUUAGUUAUUUAUGUUUGAAAUAUUACAUUUUAGUCACUUACGUUAUCAUUUUGUUAUUAAGUGGUCACUCCACCGUUAAACUUCGUUACCUCUCUAACGGUAGUCCUACGCGACAGUACAAAUGGGUUUUAAAUACCAACUACGAUGUUCAAUUGUUGGGACGAAAAUAGGUUUUUAAUUAAAUAAAUUUAAUUUAGACUGCCACGUAAGACCAUCAUUAGGGAGGUAAGAGAGCUUAAUGAUAGAGUAACCAAUUCGUAAUAAAAUGAUAACAUAAGUGACUAAAAUGUAAUAUUUUAAACUUAAGUGACUAAAAUAUAAUCUGAAGCAAAUAAAAGUGACUGAUUUAUAGUUUACCCUUAAUGUAAUUAUUGGCGGAUGAUCUGGCCGCACCGACAAACAGUAGAAAUUGAGUCAUUUUCGUAAUUAUUCACAAAAUUUGGGUUACUUUUAUAAAAACCCGAAAAGAGAACCUCGCCUUUGCUUAAGAUAGACGAGCACUUUCUGACCUUCCCUUCUGUUGGGUUUUCAUCAACAGGUUUGCCUCUUAAUUACCAGAACAUCAAUGGAUGUUAGUGUAAAGAGAUGGAGCAUGAUACGCCCUGCUCAAGAUACUCCUAAAGAAAGGCAAUGGAUUUCAAAUCUGGACGUGGUGAGGCCAACAUUCCAUGUCCCUUUGCUGUUUUUCUACAAACCAAAUGGCUCCUCUGACUUCUUCAAGCGUCAAGUGCUACAGGAGGCUUUAAGCAAGACUCUUGUGCAAUUCUAUCCUAUGGCUGGGAGGUUGGGACGUGAUGAAAAUGGUAGGCUCGAGAUAUUAUGCAACGCAGACGGUGUUCUGUGGAUAGAAGCUGAAACUACAUCGGCCAUGGAUGAUCUCGACGGUUUUACUCCCUGCUCAAAACUGAGGAAACUGGUUCCCACGGCUGAUUACUCUGGAGAUAUCAGUUCUUAUCCGCUUAUUAUGGCUCAGGUAAGUGAAUGAAGAACUAUUAUCUUAUUGUAGAUGAUAACUGUUACUUGCAGUAGGAGACCAAGGAUAGGUUCUGAGAAAACUCAAACAGCCUGAUACUGAAGUUAAAGCACAAGAAAAACUAAGCUAUCAGCUAAGAAGUUCAUAUAUACACGAGAAUGACCCGUUCUCUACCGUAAAAGUCGGUGCCGCUAGACUAAUUAGUGACACCAAUAUUUUUGUAAAAGUAUUACCAUCAACAAAGUAUCGAUACUUUCCGUUCAUCUUCACAAGAAAGUGCUAAUUAUGGAGGUCCACGGUGGUGGCUUAGUAGUGAAGAAGAUGAAACCAAAACCCUUUUCUCUUUAAUGGAUCUCUGGUUUGACUCAUUUGUAAUAAUCAUUUUCGUUCGUCGAAUACGACCGCAUUUUAAAUGGAAAACUGUAAUAAUGAUCCUCACUGAAGAAAAGCAAAGAACAAGAUUAAUCAAAGCGAACAAGAUUAUUACAAAUAGACCUGUACAUAGGCCGGGCCGGGUCGGGUUCGGGCUAGGCUCACAAAAAUUUCAGCCCGUUUACUAGGCCCGGGCCAGGCCCGGCCCGAAAUAUAGACAUGAGAUUUUGCCUAGGCCCGGCCCGAAGAAAAAAUAUGGGGCCCGAGCCCGGCCCGUUUUUAAUUAAAAUUAAAAUUAUUUUUUUAAUAAAAUUAAAAUUAAUUGCUAUUAAAAUUAAUUGUUAGUAAAAUUAUCAAAUUAUUAAUUGUUAAUUGUAUUAAUUGUUGUAAUAAAAUCUAACAUUUGAUUAGUAAAUUUAUCAAAUUAUUAAUUGUAUUAAUUGUUGUAACAAAAUCUAACAUUUGAUUAGUAAAACAAACUUGAUGUUUUAUUAUUAUUAUUUUGUAACACUAGUCAAGGAAAUGAAAGUAAAUAAACUUAAAAUAAAAAACUAUUACAUUUUAAAAAUAAAAAAUAUAUAUUUAAUAUUUUUCGGGCCGGGCCGGGCCGAGCCCGGGCCAAAAAAUCUUGCCCGAGGCCUGGCCCAUUUUUUAAACGAGCCUAAAAUUUUGCCCAAUCCCAUAUUUCGGGCAUAUAUUUUACCCAAACCCUCCCAUAUUUUGGGCGGGCCGUCGGGCCGGGCCGGGCCGCCCGGCCCAUGGACAGGUCUAAUUACAAAUGAGCCGGGCGAGAGGUUAAUUGAAGAGAAAAUGGUUUCAAUUUCAUCUUCUUAACUGCUAAGCCACCACCAUGGAACCCUUAGCACUUUUUCGUGAAGCUAAAUGAUACCAUCAACAAAGUAUUGAUCCUUUUUACAAAACUGGCAUUGGUGCCACCAAUGAGUCCGGCGACAUUCAAAACAAAUAUAUUUUUAAAAAACAUGGGGUGGUGCCUUCAAUGGGAAUGAUGGCACCAAAUUUUAUGAUAGAAAAUGGGUUAUUCUUGUACAAGAUUUUACACUUAGUCAUUUUUUAUAAUUAAUCAAUCUUUUUUGGUCAAUUUAAAAAAAAAACCUUAAUAUUUUUGUUUCAAAAAGGUCAAUUAUUGAGUGUAUAUUUUGCUAGGUAACUACUCUUAAAUGCGGUGGAGUCUGUCUUGGAAUAGCUACUCAUUGUACUUUGGCUGAUGGCACAACGACCUUUCAUUUCAUUAAUAGUUGGUCUGAAAUGGCAAGAGGCCUGCCCCAAAUUAGCAUGCCACCACUUAUUAACCGAACCCUUCUCCAAGCAAGAGUGCCACCAAUCCCUAAAUUUCAUCAUCUCGAAUGUGACCUACCUCCUUCUUUAAACACCUCUACGUCACUUGGCCCUAAUAACCAUAAACCCUCAACUAUAUCUAUUUUCAAGAUCACACAAAAUCAACUUAAUACCCUAAAAGCCAAGUCAUGGGAACAUGGAAACAAAACCAAUUACAGCACCUACACCAUUCUAGCUGCAUACAUAUGGCGCUGUGCAACUAAAGCUCGGGGCCUCUCAUAUGACCAGCCAACCAAGUUAAACAUGCCAAUUAAUGGACGUCCUAGACUACAUCCUCCCCUCCCAUCAACGUACGUGGGUAAUGCAGUGUUUGCGGCUUCAUUAAUUGCUCUAUCUUGAAAUCUGCAAUCAGAACCGUUUGUAAAUACCCUAGAACGAGUUCAUGGAACAUUGAAAAGGAUGAAUAAUGAGUAUCUAAGAUCAGCUCUUGACUACCUAGAAACACUGCCAGAUAUAACAGCUGCCACGAUAAAACCAGGCACUUACCAGUGCCCAAACCUAAAUAUCAACAAAUGGACACGAUUGUCUAUAUAUGAUGCAGAUUUUGGAUGGGGUCGACCAAUAUACAUGGGUUUAGCAAACGUUGUCGAGGAAGGAAAAAUAUUCAUACUACCAAGUCCAACCGAUGAUGGGAGCUUGUCACUGGUAGCAUGCCUACAGAUUGCUCAUAUGAAACUCUUCGAGAAACAUUUAUACGAAGGCUUGAAGUCAUUUAACAAGAUCAAAGCUCGAUAUUAGUUGUUUGUUCUCUCUAUCAAUAUAUGUAUAAACCUAUAAAUCUUCUACUUCUGUUUCUUUAACUAAGACUUUUUGUUUGGAUCCUGUUUAUUUGAAAUUUACCAUCUAAGCUGGCAUGGCGGACAAGUCUUUUAGGCAGAAUAGAAAUUCACUAAUGUUGAAAAACAACAAUGCAAGAG
rnacentral:lncRNA from 1 species